rfam:Metschnikowia bicuspidata var. bicuspidata NRRL YB-4993 METBIscaffold_9, whole genome shotgun sequence.
GUUACAGUGGCCGAGUGGUUAAGGCGACACCCUGCUAUCAAGCGGUUCAGGUGUUGGGCAUUGCCUGCGCAGGUUCGAAUCCUGUCUGUGACG